rnacentral:rRNA from 1 species
GGUAUGUAAAGCUCUAUCAGCAGGGAAGAUAAUGACGGUACCUGACUAAGAAGCUCCGGCUAAAUACGUGCCAGCAGCCGCGGUAAUACGUAUGGAGCAAGCGUUAUCCGGAUUUACUGGGUGUAAAGGGUGCGUAGGUGGCAGUGUAAGUCAGAUGUGAAAGGCCGGGGCUCAACCCCGGAGCUGCAUUUGAAACUGCUCGGCUAGAGUACAGGAGAGGCAGGCGGAAUUCCUAGUGUAGCGGUGAAAUGCGUAGAUAUUAGGAGGAACACCAGUGGCGAAGGCGGCCUGCUGGACUGUUACUGACACUGAGGCACGAAAGCGUGGGGAGCAAACAGGAUUAGAUACCCUGGCAGUCCCACGCCGUAAACGAUGAAUACUAGGUGUCGGGGCCGUAUAGGCUUCGGUGCCGCCGCUCACGCAGUAAGUAUUCCACCUAGGGAGUA